rnacentral:rRNA from 1 species
AUCAGCCUUUUGGGUGUGAUUUUGUGGAGCGUGAAGAGUUAAACGCCUUCAUGCCUGCAUAUUCGUGCACUUUGGGUGUACUUGCCCGUAUGGUUGGUUAACAUCAAUUUUGGUGUUCAAAAAAUGACUGGAGGAAUGUAGCUUCGAUCUUGUAUUGAAGUGUUAUAGCCUUCGGUAGAUGUGAUGAUCGAGGUUGAGGAUUGCAACGGAUACCCUUCGGGGCUACCUGUCUGGUCUCUGAUCGUUGCUCUGGUGCCGAAAGCUUGCUUACGGUUAUCAAGGUCGAUGGUCAAUAGGUUAGAACAGGUUAAAUUUGUUAAGAUGUUGACGUAAUGGCUUU